rnacentral:rRNA from 1 species
UACGGGGGGGGCAAGCGUUGUUCGGAAUUACUGGGCGUAAAGGGCUCGUAGGCGGCCAACUAAGUCGGAUGUGAAAUCCCCAGGCUUAACUUGGGAACUGCAUCCGAUACUGGAUGGCUUGAAUCCGGGAGAGGGAUGCGGAAUUCCAGGUGUAGCGGUGAAAUGCGUAGAUAUCUGGAGGAACACCGGUGGCGAAGGCGGCAUCCUGGACCGGCAUUGACGCUGAUGAGCGAAAGCCAGGGGAGCAAACGGG